GAGAGCCGGAUGACCGGGAAACCGUCAUGUCCGGUUCGGCGGGAGGCCGCGCGGAACAGGACUCGCUCACGGCGGGCACCUCACCGCGCGGCCGACCCAAC
rnacentral:ncRNA from 1 species